CUUACAGCAUGUCAACAGAUAGUUCUUCAGUGGGAGUAGUGCAUGUGAUUCUUUGACUUGAGAUCACCAUGGUACCUUGUGUACACAAAUUCUUAAUUUGGUUUAUUCCCUAGCACACUACAUUGAGAUAUGUGUGAGAUAUUCUCGGUAUGGUGAAGUGUGCAUAGAGAUUGUGAGUGAUCAAUAAGGAAUCGAUUACCCCU
rnacentral:lncRNA from 1 species